rnacentral:rRNA from 1 species
AGAGUUUGAUCAUGGCUCAGAUUGAACGCUGGCGGCAGGCCUAACACAUGCAAGUCGAGCGGUAGCACAGAGAGCUUGCUCUCGGGUGACGAGCGGCGGACGGGUGAGUAAUGUCUGGGAAACUGCCUGAUGGAGGGGGAUAACUACUGGAAACGGUAGCUAAUACCGCAUAAUGUCGCAAGACCAAAGUGGGGGACCUUCGGGCCUCAUGCCAUCAGAUGUGCCCAGAUGGGAUUAGCUAGUAGGUGGGGUAACGGCUCACCUAGGCGACGAUCCCUAGCUGGUCUGAGAGGAUGACCAGCCACACUGGAACUGAGACACGGUCCAGACUCCUACGGGAGGCAGCAGUGGGGAAUAUUGCACAAUGGGCGCAAGCCUGAUGCAGCCAUGCCGCGUGUGUGAAGAAGGCCUUCGGGUUGUAAAGCACUUUCAGCGGGGAGGAAGGCGUUAAGGUUAAUAACCUUGGCGAUUGACGUUACCCGCAGAAGAAGCACCGGCUGACUCCGUGCCAGCAGCCGCGGUAAUACGGAGGGUGCAAGCGUUAAUCGGAAUUACUGGGCGUAAAGCGCACGCAGGCGGUCUGUCAAGUCGGAUGUGAAAUCCCCGGGCUCAACCUGGGAACUGCAUUCGAAACUGGCAGGCUAGAGUCUUGUAGAGGGGGGUAGAAUUCCAGGUGUAGCGGUGAAAUGCGUAGAGAUCUGGAGGAAUACCGGUGGCGAAGGCGGCCCCCUGGACAAAGACUGACGCUCAGGUGCGAAAGCGUGGGGAGCAAACAGGAUUAGAUACCCUGGUAGUCCACGCCGUAAACGAUGUCGAUUUGGAGGUUGUGCCCUUGAGGCGUGGCUUCCGGAGCUAACGCGUUAAAUCGACCGCCUGGGGAGUACGGCCGCAAGGUUAAAACUCAAAUGAAUUGACGGGGGCCCGCACAAGCGGUGGAGCAUGUGGUUUAAUUCGAUGCAACGCGAAGAACCUUACCUGGUCUUGACAUCCACAGAACUUAGCAGAGAUGCUUUGGUGCCUUCGGGAACUGUGAGACAGGUGCUGCAUGGCUGUCGUCAGCUCGUGUUGUGAAAUGUUGGGUUAAGUCCCGCAACGAGCGCAACCCUUAUCCUUUGUUGCCAGCGGUCCGGCCGGGAACUCAAAGGAGACUGCCAGUGAUAAACUGGAGGAAGGUGGGGAUGACGUCAAGUCAUCAUGGCCCUUACGACCAGGGCUACACACGUGCUACAAUGGCAUAUACAAAGAGAAGCGACCUCGCGAGAGCAAGCGGACCUCAUAAAGUAUGUCGUAGUCCGGAUUGGAGUCUGCAACUCGACUCCAUGAAGUCGGAAUCGCUAGUAAUCGUAGAUCAGAAUGCUACGGUGAAUACGUUCCCGGGCCUUGUACACACCGCCCGUCACACCAUGGGAGUGGGUUGCAAAAGAAGUAGGUAGCUUAACCUUCGGGAGGGCGCUUACCACUUUGUGAUUCAUGACUGGGGUGAAGUCGUAACAAGGUAAC